UACGGAAGGCAGCAGUGGGGAAUAUUGCACAAUGGGCGAAAGCCUGAUGCAGCUAUGCCGCGUGUAUGAAGAAGGCCUUAGGGUUGUAAAGUACUUUCAUCGGGGAGGAAAAAACAAAACUAAUAAUUUUAUUUCUUGACGUUACCCGAAAAAGAAGCACCGGCUAACUCCGUGCCAGCAGCCGCGGUAAUACGGAGGGUGCUAGCGUUAAUCAGAAUUACUGGGCGUAAAGAGCACGUAGGUGGUUUUUUUAAGUCAGAUGUGAAAUCCCUGGGCUUAACCUAGGAACUGCAUUUUGAAACUGAAAUACUAGAGUAUCGUAGAGGGAGGUAGAAUUCUAGGUGUAGCGGUGAAAUGCGUAGAUAUCUGGAGGAAUACCUGUGGCGAAAGCGGCCUCCUAAACGAAUACUGACACUGAGGGUGC
rnacentral:rRNA from 1 species